UACGUAGGGUGCAAGCGUUGUCCGGAAUUAUUGGGCGUAAAGAGCUCGUAGGCGGUCUGUCGCGUCGGCUGUGAAAACUCGGGGCUCAACCCCGAGCCUGCAGUCGAUACGGGCAGACUAGAGUUCGGUAGGGGAGACUGGAAUUCCGGGUGUAGCGGUGGAAUGCGUAGAGAUCCGGAAGAACACCGGUGGCGAAGGCGGUCUGCUGGGGUAAUGCUGACACUGAUGCGCGACAGCGUGGGGAGCAAACAGG
rnacentral:rRNA from 1 species